rnacentral:pre_miRNA from 1 species
CGGGGGAGCGUAGGAUGUGGGGCUGUGUCCCCAGCGCCCUGGGAUCCAGGGCCUGUGCUGCUGGACCCGCACUCCAGGGGGCUCAGUGCCCCCA